rnacentral:lncRNA from 1 species
CUUGACUUAACUUUAGUCAGCAUCCUCUAAGCACUGCAGGCUUCUACCAUGGUGUGCAUCUUUGUCAGGACUGAGUCGCUCAGUUACAACAGAAAUCUUGCCAAGUCAGUGCGGGUCUCUCCCAGGAGACGCAUGAGAUCCUGGAGGCUUCCUUGGUCCCUGCAGAUGAAGAGAGAAGGCUUCCAUCCUCCAGUAUAUCCUGGUUGCUACUGGCAUCAGCACUGCAAAAACCUUGUGUGCCUCAGAAUACGAAGUGCCCUGCCUUCCAUCCCAGCCCACCCAGACAAGCAACUGAACAAAGUGGAAUAUGGGCUAGUGUUGAGAAGCCAUUCUCAAACCUCCACCAGGGGCUUGCUACAUGACUGGGGACUCCAUGCAAGAAAAUGUGGGGCUCCUCAUUCACAAAAUAGAAA